UUGGGAAUUUUGGACAAUGGGCGAAAGCCUGAUCCAGCAAUGCCGCGUGUGUGAAGAAGGCCUUCGGGUUGUAAAGCACUUUUGUCCGGAAAGAAAUCCUUGGCUCUAAUACAGUCGGGGGAUGACGGUACCGGAAGAAUAAGCACCGGCUAACUACGUGCCAGCAGCCGCGGUAAUACGUAGGGUGCAAGCGUUAAUCGGAAUUACUGGGCGUAAAGCGUGCGCAGGCGGUUUGCUAAGACCGAUGUGAAAUCCCCGGGCUCAACCUGGGAACUGCAUUGGUGACUGGCAGGCUAGAGUAUGGCAGAGGGGGGUAGAAUUCCACGUGUAGCAGUGAAAUGCGUAGAGAUGUGGAGGAAUACCGAUGGCGAAGGCAGCCCCCUGGGCCAAUACUGACGCUCAUGCACGAAAGCGUGGGGAGCAAACAGGAUUAGAUACCCUGGUAGUCCACGCCCUAAACGAUGUCAACUAGUUGUUGGGGAUUCAUUUCCUUAGUAACGUAGCUAACGCGUGAAGUUGACCGCCUGGGGAGUACGGUCGCAAGAUUAAAACUUAAAGGAAUUGACGGGGUCAUAGCUGUUUCCU
rnacentral:rRNA from 1 species